rnacentral:rRNA from 1 species
AGAGUUUGAUCCUGGCUCAGGACGAACGCUGGCGGCGUGCCUAAUACAUGCAAGUCGAGCGAAUCGAUGGGAGCUUGCUCCCUGAGAUUAGCGGCGGACGGGUGAGUAACACGUGGGCAACCUGCCUGUAAGACUGGGAUAACUCCGGGAAACCGGAGCUAAUACCGGAUAGUAUCUUGAACCGCAUGGUUCAAGUUGGAAAGACGGUUUCGGCUGUCACUUACAGAUGGGCCCGCGGCGCAUUAGCUAGUUGGUGAGGUAAUGGCUCACCAAGGCAACGAUGCGUAGCCGACCUGAGAGGGUGAUCGGCCACACUGGGACUGAGACACGGCCCAGACUCCUACGGGAGGCAGCAGUAGGGAAUCUUCCGCAAUGGACGAAAGUCUGACGGAGCAACGCCGCGUGAGUGAUGAAGGUUUUCGGAUCGUAAAACUCUGUUGUUAGGGAAGAACAAGUGCGAGAGUAACUGCUCGCACCUUGACGGUACCUAACCAGAAAGCCACGGCUAACUACGUGCCAGCAGCCGCGGUAAUACGUAGGUGGCAAGCGUUGUCCGGAAUUAUUGGGCGUAAAGCGCGCGCAGGCGGUUUCUUAAGUCUGAUGUGAAAGCCCCCGGCUCAACCGGGGAGGGUCAUUGGAAACUGGGAAACUUGAGUGCAGAAGAGGAGAGUGGAAUUCCACGUGUAGCGGUGAAAUGCGUAGAGAUGUGGAGGAACACCAGUGGCGAAGGCGACUCUCUGGUCUGUAACUGACGCUGAGGCGCGAAAGCGUGGGGAGCGAACAGGAUUAGAUACCCUGGUAGUCCACGCCGUAAACGAUGAGUGCUAAGUGUUAGAGGGUUUCCGCCCUUUAGUGCUGCAGCUAACGCAUAAGCACUCCGCCUGGGGAGUACGGCCGCAAGGCUGAAACUCAAAGGAAUUGACGG